UACGGAGGGUGCGAGCGUUUGUCCGGAAUCAUUGGGCGUAAAGGGUGUGUAGGUGGCGCGCUAAGUCGGGUGUGAAAUUUCGGAGCUUAACUCCGAAACUGCAUUCGAUACUGGCGUGCUUGAGGACUGGAGAGGAGACUGGAAUUCAUGGUGUAGCAGUGAAAUGCGUAGAGAUCAUGAGGAAGACCAGUGGCGAAGGCGGGUCUCUGGACAGUUCCUGACACUGAGACACGAAGGCCAGGGGAGCAAACGGG
rnacentral:rRNA from 1 species